rnacentral:tRNA from 1 species
GUCUCCGGAUGAAAGCUUAGCAGGUAGGAGCCCUUGGCGCGUAACCGAAAGAUCUGGGUUCGAUUCCCAGUCUGGGCU